AACGAACGCUGGCGGCAUGCCUAACACAUGCAAGUCGAACGAGACCUUCGGGUCUAGUGGCGCACGGGUGCGUAACGCGUGGGAACCUGCCCUUAGGUUCGGAAUAACUCCCCGAAAGGGGUGCUAAUACCGGAUAAUGUCUUCGGACCAAAGAUUUAUCGCCUUUGGAUGGGCCCGCGUUGGAUUAGCUAGUUGGUAGGGUAAAAGCCUACCAAGGCGACGAUCCAUAGCUGGUCUGAGAGGAUGAUCAGCCACACUGGGACUGAGACACGGCCCAGACACACGAGGGAGUACGGUGGGGGGAAGAAGGAAUGUGGGGAGCACGCGCAGCAGAGGAGGGCUGGGGUAGUAAAGAAGGCCUUAGGGUGGAAGAUCACGGUGACCCGGGAGAAGAAAGACAGCACGGGCAGAAGAAGCCCCGGCUAACGCCGGCCAAGCAGCAGCGGGAAUAUGCGGAAGCCCAUACUUCCGACC
rnacentral:rRNA from 1 species